CAGUGGCUUUGUGUUGUUCAUCUUUCAUUUCUAACAGCUAGCACAGUUUUGCACACAUAUUUUUGAGUGAAUGAAUUGAUAAACAAUUGGACAAAUUUCAAGUCCAAAACACAUCUGAACUUUAAAUUUCUUCCACUUUGGUAUCCUUGCCUAGUGGUCACUUUGUUUUUCCUAAACUUCCAGGAACAGGGCACUUACUGUCUACAAAUGGAUGCUGUGCUAACCACCAUGGGCAAUUUGGAUCAAGUGGAGGCCCUGAUGCUCAGUGAGUCCCCCCGGAAGCCUCUGUGGCUGGCACUCCUUUGGAGUUCUAGUAGAUUUAGAGUCUAGUUCUUCAUGCAUCACCCCUUUAAAUAGUUCUUCUCUUCUAAGUCUUUUCUAGAAUGGAAUCUCCCAGUAUCAUCCUUCUGAAAAGGUUUCCAACCUGCAAUCACUCUAGAUGUUCUCUGAGUCAUUUCUAAGUGCAGUCUGAUGCGUGCCAAGAAAAGGAAGACCAGGACUGGAGCAAGAGACCGAACAGCAUGAGCCCUAGCCUCCUCCCAUGACCCCAGAUCCCCAGACACACUCAUAACAGCACUGGAAACAAGAUGUGUCCCUAGUAGACCAGAAAUUAUGAGAUCUCUAAAGAUGGAUGAUAGAAUUAGAUUAAGGAAAUCAGGAAAUCACAACCGGUAAUGCACACAGUAAAACCUAAACAAAACAAUAUACCCUCCGUUCCCCCAACCCCACCCCACUACUGAAUCCUAUAAGCUAAUCUUAAAUAUUGGUACAAAAUUUUGAAUA
rnacentral:lncRNA from 1 species